AGCCAUAUCGCUUUGAAACACCAGUUCCCGUACAAUCACCAAAGUUAAGCAACAUUGAACCUGGUCAGUACCUAAAUGGAUAACCACUUGGGAAUUCCAUGUGCU